GUCAAAAACUGAAGCGUGGUCAAGCGCCUCUAGCGUCACUGACAUGAGAUGUUUAUCGCUUUGAAAUCACGUUCAAGAAGUCUCAUUCAGCACACAUCGCGAUACUUGCCAUCAGUUUACAAGAGCCGCAGGUUGGGUGAGUUAUACAGUCUAUGCUGAAAAGACAUAAAGGAAGCAGUCACCCCAGUGGUGUUUGUGGAGAGGUAUUCCUUCAGAAAUGGAGAAGACAGAAAGCUGCAGAGGCAGGAUUGUUUGCAGAUAAUGCUGUUCUUCUUUUUCAGAAGUUUUUGGUGAGCCAACUCUCACAAACCUUCCUAAAAACUAAAAGAGCUAUUACUGAGUCUCGGCUAAUCUUGCCAUGGUCAGCUCUUCCCAGAAGAGAAGGAAGACCAAGGAAAUUAUUUGCUCAGGAUGAGAAAUGAAGAUGGCCAUCUUGUGCUCAAACAAACAGAAGUCCUCUGAUGAUCUCAUCAGCCAAAUGAGGGGUUUUGACCAAGUGAUGCUCUUGAAAGGAGUGAAAGAAGAGGAUGUGGUAAAUUGUCUUAAAGCAGCCUGAAGAAUGGUCUGGGAUGUUAGGACUGAGAGAUCCUCUGACUGAGAGAAGCUACACCACAUCAGUGCUGGAUAUCAACCACAAACUGUUUCCAGACACGAGAGAAGAAGAUCAUGAUGGGGAGAUGAAACCAGUUUAGAUGUGAUGAUAAGGAAUCAUUAUUUUCUGAAACAGGAUCAAAUGUCUUAUAUGUAUCACAUGAUCUGUAUCACAGUUGACUGGAUGGGACUGUGUGACUCUUAAGGACAUUUCAUCACUCAUCUGUGUGAACUGAUUAAUAUAUGAGGUUAAUGUAUUUUUGAUUAUGAAUAAUUAUUUUCCUUGAAUCUUAUUUGUCUUGAUGCUACUUUAUCAUCUGUA
ensembl:lncRNA